UUCAUAUCAGAAACUGUCCUACUGCUUCACUCAACUUUUUACUUUUUUCCCCAUUACUCACAUGGUUUAUUCUUUAUUAUCUUGCAUCUUGCAUGGGUGCUGUUCCCAUUUUAGAGAUCUUUUUCCAAUUUUUUUCCCACCAGUUUUCACCUCAUAUGCUUUUGACCACUGACAUUACCAUGCUGUUGCCUUAUAAUCUGUCUGGCUUCAUUUAAAGGCUAAUCACUAAACUAAUGCACAAAUAAGUUAUAAUCAAAGGGUUAGAUUACAUUCCUGUUGCAGGCGGAGUGCCAGAAAUUGCAAAGGGAAUCACAGAGAGAAAGAGAACAAAACAAAUGAGGAAUGAAGGAAAGAACAGUAGAUCUAGGGAGAAACAGAGUAGAUGGCAAACCUCUCAGAAAAUAUGUAUGAUGUUUAUGAUGACAGACUUAUGCAUAGAUUUUGCCAGAUUAAUGAAAAAAAAAUAACAAGACUUCAUUACACCAUACACAACUGCAUUAAAUGUGCCUUGGACAUUUCCAGGCAUAUUUCCAAGCAUAUGUUUUGAGCCAUCGCCUUUUAUUAGGUAAAGCAUAACUGUGUGCUUAUGUAAGAUCUUUAACAAUGUCAGCAAACAAUAUUGUUCCAAAAUGGAUGAAGUGCUAGAAAAGCACGCAUUAGACCUGUUUGUCAUUUCACAUUUUGAACACAAAGAUUAACAUCAAGUAUAUUCCUAGACAAGGUCAUUCCUACACAAUAGCCACGUUUAAUAUGCAUAUACAGCACAAAUCCUGCAGUCUCCAUGUGUAACUUAGCCUCAGCUUCCUCAAGAAAAUCAGCUGCUGAGUUUAGCAAUCUGUCUGAGCCAGACAGGGAAGUGGCACAUGAAAAUAACUGAUUAAACACCACUACAGCAUAAAGGCACAGUUCACCAAGAAGACCAGCUUACAAGAUGAAACAUGGCACUUAUCGGUUCAUUUGAUACCUCACAUAGUUUUGCUUAUUGGUACAAGAAAACCCACAUCCCAUCACAUCACAGCUGAGCUAUUCCAGAAGUCACGCUAGAUCUACCCCAUUUGCAUGUGAUAUAGCAGGAAGGCAGCUGGGACGCAUCCAAAAUAUCUCCACUUAUCAUACCAGGGGCCACUAUGAUGAUGUCAUACUUCUUUGGGUCAGCAGCACCACUGCAGACAAACUGCUCAUGCUUGGGAGCACAAUCACAAGAUGAUUGACUCACAGGGUGUAUAUAACUGCAUGCAGAUGAAUACAGCCAAAGUAAUGACUUUAUGUAGCAGGUCUCAACAAGUCCAUCUCUGCAUGCAUUUAGCUUAACGGUUUACAUUGAUGCACAGGGUUCACUGAAACUUGGUGGGGAAAAAAGGCUACCUAUUACAAUAUACAUGAGCCAAAAUUGUCCUUACAAGUCUUCACUGUCAUAGAAACUUCGUCACUAAAAUAAACAGAGGCUGAUUUUCCUUUAAACCGAACUGCAGCCCCAUAAUUUUAUUCAAAUUAAUAUUUUAUUUCCAAUAAUAACUACUAUAGUGUUUAGCUAGCUAGUUAGCAAGCAGAUAAGACUAUACACAGUCUGA
ensembl:lncRNA